GAUGAACGCUAGCUACAGGCUUAACACAUGCAAGUCGAGGGGCAGCAUGGUCUUAGCUUGCUAAGGCCGAUGGCGACCGGCGCACGGGUGAGUAACACGUAUCCAACCUGCCGUCUACUCUUGGACAGCCUUCUGAAAGGAAGAUUAAUACAAGAUGGCAUCAUGAGUCCGCAUGUUCACAUGAUUAAAGGUAUUCCGGUAGACGAUGGGGAUGCGUUCCAUUAGAUAGUAGGCGGGGUAACGGCCCACCUAGUCUUCGAUGGAUAGGGGUUCUGAGAGGAAGGUCCCCCACAUUGGAACUGAGACACGGUCCAAACUCCUACGGGAGGCAGCAGUGAGGAAUAUUGGUCAAUGGGCGAGAGCCUGAACCAGCCAAGUAGCGUGAAGGAUGACUGCCCUAUGGGUUGUAAACUUCUUUUAUAAAGGAAUAAAGUCGGGUAUGGAUACCCGUUUGCAUGUACUUUAUGAAUAAGGAUCGGCUAACUCCGUGCCAGCAGCCGCGGUAAUACGGAGGAUCCGAGCGUUAUCCGGAUUUAUUGAGUUUAAAGGGAGCGUAGAUGGAUGUUUAAGUCAGUUGUGAAAGUUUGCGGCUCAACCGUAAAAUUGCAGUUGAUACUGGAUAUCUUGAGUGCAGUUGAGGCAGGCGGAAUUCGUGGUGUAGCGGUGAAAUGCUUAGAUAUCACGAAGAACUCCGAUUGCGAAGGCAGCCUGCUAAGCUGCAACUGACAUUGAGGCUCGAAAGUGUGGGUAUCAAACAGGAUUAGAUACCCUGGUAGUCCACACGGUAAACGAUGAAUACUCGCUGUUUGCGAUAUACUGCAAGCGGCCAAGCGAAAGCGUUAAGUAUUCCACCUGGGGAGUACGCCGGCAACGGUGAAACUCAAGGGAAUUGACGGGGGCCCGCACAAGCGGAGGAACAUGUGGUUUAAUUCGAUGAUACGCGAGGAACCUUACCCGGGCUUAAAUUGCAGAUGAAUUACGGUGAAAGCCGUAAGCCGCAAGGCAUCUGUGAAGGUGCUGCAUGGUUGUCGUCAGCUCGUGCCGUGAGGUGUCGGCUUAAGUGCCAUAACGAGCGCAACCCUUGUUGUCAGUUACUAACAGGUUCCGCUGAGGACUCUGACAAGACUGCCAUCGUAAGAUGUGAGGAAGGUGGGGAUGACGUCAAAUCAGCACGGCCCUUACGUCCGGGGCUACACACGUGUUACAAUGGGGGGUACAGAGGGCCGCUACCACGCGAGUGGAUGCCAAUCCCCAAAACCUCUCCCAGUUCGGACUGGAGUCUGCAACCCGACUCCACGAAGCUGGAUUCGCUAGUAAUCGCGCAUCAGCCACGGCGCGGUGAAUACGUUCCCGGGCCU
rnacentral:rRNA from 1 species